CUGAAUAGAUAUACAUUACUUAAAUAUCAAUGGACAGAAUGAUUAAUCAUUUUUUGGCACAUUAAACAGUAGUGCAUAGCUUUUCGAACAUCUUUGUUUCGUAAAGAAUAGAUCAUGGGAUUUAACAGUGGUGUUAUCACUGAAUAAAAUACAGAUACCAGUUUGUCAUUAUUUAGGUCAUAUUUAGCUUUGGGUCUUACAUACAUAAAUAUCACAGUUCCGUAAAACAGAGACACAACAGUUAAGUGUGCGGCACAUGUAGAAAAUGCUUUUCUUGGGACUUUAGAAGGGAUCCUAGGAAUAGUGGUAAUGAUACAGACAUAGGAAGCCAUAGUCAGUAUGCAGCAUGAUAAUACAACACUCCAGGACAAAGUGAAAAAUAUCUGUUCUGUAGUCCUGGUGUCCAUACAGGACAGCUUAAGAAGUGGAGGAUAAUCACAGAAGAAGUGAUUGAUUAUGUUUGGUCCACAAAAAGGCAAACUAGAGAUAAAUGUUACAGUGAGAAUGGAAGCUACAAAGCCAC